AUUGAACGCUUGCGGCAUGCUUUACACAUGCAAGUCGAACGGUAACAGGGAGCUUGCUCCGCUGACGAGUGGCGAACGGGUGAGUAAUGCGUCGGAACGUGCCGAGUAGUGGGGGAUAACGCAUCGAAAGGUGUGCUAAUACCGCAUACGAACUGAGGUUGAAAGUGGGGGACCUUCGGGCCUCACGCUAUUCGAGCGGCCGACGUCUGAUUAGCUAGUUGGUGAGGUGAAGGCUCACCAAGGCGACGAUCAGUAGCGGGUCUGAGAGGAUGACCAGCACCAGUGGGACUGAGACACGGCCCAGACUCCUACGGAAGGCAGCAGUGGGGAAUUUUGGACAAUGGGCGCAAGCCUGAUCCAGCCAUGCCGCGUGUCUGAAGAAGGCCUUCGGGUUGUAAAGGACUUUUGUCCGGGAGCAAAUGCUGGUGGCUAACAUCCACCGGAGCUGAGAGUACCGGAAGAAUAAGCACCGGCUAACUACGUGCCAGCAGCCGCCGUAACAC
rnacentral:rRNA from 1 species